AGUGAACGCUGGCGGUAGGCCUAACACAUGCAAGUCGAACGGCAGCACAGUAAGAGCUUGCUCUUACGGGUGGCGAGUGGCGGACGGGUGAGGAAUACAUCGGAAUCUACUUUUUCGUGGGGGAUAACGUAGGGAAACUUACGCUAAUACCGCAUACGACCUACGGGUGAAAGCAGGGGAUCUUCGGACCUUGCGCGAUUGAAUGAGCCGAUGUCGGAUUAGCUAGUUGGCGGGGUAAAGGCCCACCAAGGCGACGAUCCGUAGCUGGUCUGAGAGGAUGAUCCGCCACCCUGGAACUGGAACACGGUCCAGACUCCUGGGGGAGGCAGCGGUGGGGAAUAUUGGACAAUGGGCGCAAGCCUUCUCCACCCAUCCCGGGGGGGUGAAGAAGGCCUUCGGGUUGUAAAGCCCUUUUUUUGGGAAAAAAAAGGAGCAGGUUAAUCCCCCGCUUUUUUGGCGGUACCCAAAAAAAAACCCCCGGCUAACUUCGUC
rnacentral:rRNA from 1 species